CAGGAAGUGACUAUGGGUGUGGCUAGGGAGUGACUGGUGCGGAGUACUGGUUCUACUGGGCUGGUGGAGAGCAAGGAGAGCAAGUGCCUGCUGCUACUGGGGCAUGGGAUUCAUCCCUGAGCUGGGAGUAGAUGACUUGUUUGGGAAGCCUUGAGAUGCUCAUCCAACUAUCACAAAACAAGCUACCAUAUCCAUGAUGGACAAUCGUUCUCCAGUGUAGUCCUGAAGAGGAAGAACUGCGAUUACUCAUCACAAACUGGCAGAAUCCUUUUUUACUUUUAACAAGUUUGACGAGCCCAAUGGGAAUUACACACGGCUUUCCCGGGAACAGGCCCAGAUCCCUGUCAUAUGAGUGAAGAGAAGGCGGAGAAAAAAGGGCCGGAGGGCAGGCUGCCUUCUGAGAAUUCGCAGGCGAUCGAAUAAACCCCCACUGCCUUCCAUUCUGCUAGCACAAACUAUUUUCUUCUUCUUGAACUGAACUGUUGGUUAAGGGAUGUAAGUAAGCAUUUCACGGUAAAGUCUACACUUGUAUUCGGCGC